AAACAGCCCCCUAUGUUUUGAUUCUUUGGCAGUUUUGGACCUCCAGUCCAUUGUUGACUCGGUCAACGCUGACGUGGCACCCUAAGUGAGGUGCCACAUGUCAAUUUUUUUUAUUUUUUUUGCCUUGGGAGUCCAAAACUGCCAAAGAAUCAAAACAUAGGGGGCUGUUU
rnacentral:pre_miRNA from 1 species